AGCACGUAGGUGGGUUUGUAAGUCAGAUGUGAAAGCCUCCUGUUCAACGGGAGAAUUGCAUCUGAAACUACUGAUCUUGAGUGUAGGAGGGGAGAAUGGAACUUCUGGUGGAGCGGUGAAAUGCGUAGAUAUCAGAAGGAACGCCGGCGGCGAAAGCGAUUCUCUGGCCUAUUACUGACGCUCAGUGUGCGAAAGCUAGGGGAGCAAACGGGAUUAGAUACCCCGGUAGUCCUAGCCGUAAACGAUGGGCACUAAGUAGAGGGG
rnacentral:rRNA from 1 species